rnacentral:rRNA from 1 species
CCUACGGGUGGCUGCAGUGGGGAAUAUUGGGCAAUGGGCGCAAGCCUGACCCAGCAACGCCGCGUGAAGGAAGAAGGCUUUCGGGUUGUAAACUUCUUUUCUGAGGGACGUAGCAAGUGACGGUACAUCAGGCAUAAGCCACGGCUAACUACGUGCAAGCAGCCGUGGUAAUGCGUAGGUGGCAAGCGUUCGCCGGCUUUAGUGGGUGGAAAGGGAGUGUAGGCGGGAAAGCAAGUCAGAUGUGAAAACUCAGGGCUCAACCCGUAGCUUGCAUUUGAACCUGUUUUUCUUGAGUGCUGGAGAGGCAAUCGGAAUGCCGGGUGUAGCGGUGAAAUGCGUAGAUAUACGGAGGAACACCAGUGGCGAAGGCGGAUUGCUGGACAGUAACUGACGCUGAGGCGCGAAAGCGUGGGGAGCAAACAGGAUUAGAUACCCCAGUAGUC